CAUUAAGUGCAGGAAAAGAAACCAAAUGGGAUUCCCUCAGUAAAGGCGAGUGAAGUGGGACGAGCUCAGCACCGAAGCCGGCGGCCGAGAGGCCGUCGUGCAAUGUGGUGUUCGGGAGGGCUCUGUCCGUGUCCGGUGUCGGUCCAAGUCUCCUGGAAAGGAGUUCCGUGGAGGGUGACAGGCCCGUGCGACCGAUUGCCGCGCUCGCGGACGAGUCUUACCUUCGAGUCGGGUUGCUCGCUAAUGCAGCCCUAAGCAGGUGGUAAGCUCCAUCUAAGGCUAAAUAUAACCACGAGUCCGAUAGUCAACAAGUACAGUGAUGGAAAGUUGAAAAGUACUCUGAAGAGAGAGUCAAAUAGCCCGUGAAGCUGCCAGUAUGGGAUUAAGCGCACGUGUGACGCGUGUCGUCGGACAAAUAGGCGGCCGUUGUCUGUCGCACGCCUCGCGCGUCCGGCAUCGGAAACGGUGUCGGCGCGAGGCGCUGCCCGGCGGUCGGCGGAACGCCUCCCUUUGUUCGGCAUCGACAGGUCGGGGCUUCGUUGUCCGGUCUUAUUGUGCCGGCCGUUAUUCGCAGAGCCGUGUCGGGCCGGCGCGCCGCCCUCGGGUGCGUGCCGGUGUUCCGUGGAAUGUGCGCGCCUCGCGCGCGGCCACGGCCGGCCUGGUCUGCGAUGCAAUGCGGCCGAUGAUUGUUGCGAACGACUGGGCGACGGCCAGCGCAAAUCGACUCGCAAGAGUCGGCUCGGCCUUUGCGUCGUCACGUGCGGCCCGUCUUGAAACACGGACCAAGGAGUCUAACAUGUGAGCGAGCGAUUGAGAUUGUCUAAUCUCAGACGCGCAAUGAAAGUGAAGUGUCGUCUGACGGCACGAGCGGAGAUCCGUCGUCACUCGUGGCGGCGGCGCAUCCGCGGGCCACGCCAUCGGCUGGCUUGCUUUUCGGAGCACUGCUGAGGCGUGGACCUAGAGCCCACACGUUGGGACCCGAAAGAUGGUGAACUAUGCCUGGCCAGGAUGAAGCCAGAGGAAACUCUGGUGGAGGUCCGCCGCGAUUCUGACGUGCAAAUCGAUCGUCUGAGCUGGGUAUAGGGGCGAAAGACCAAUCGAACCAUCUAGUAGCUGGUUCCGCCCGAAGUUUCCCUCAGGAUAGCUGGCGCUCGUGUGAUACGGAGUUUCAUCCGGUAAAGCGAAUGAUCAGAGGAGCUGGGCUCCUUGCGAGCUCAACCUAUUCUCAAACUUUCAAUGGGUGAGACGUCUCGCUGGCUUCACUGCAGCGACGACUCUGAAUCCGAGUGCCCAGUGGGCCACUUUUGGUAAGCAGAACUGGCGAUGCGGGAUGAACCGCAUGUCGAGUUAAGGUGCCUAAGCGGACGCAAAUCAGAUACCAUGAAAGGCGUUGAUUGCUCACGACAGCAGGACGGUGGCCAUGGAAGUCGGCAUCCGCUAAGGAGUGUGUAACAACUCACCUGCCGAAGCAAUCAGCCCUGAAAAUGGAUGGCGCUAAAGCGUUCCACCGAUACUCGACCGUCGUCGGCAGGCGACGUGCACAUGCCACGUCUCAAGCCACGACGAGUAGGGCGGCGCGGCGGUGAGCGUCGAAGGCGUAGCCGCGAGGCUAGCUGGAGCCGCCGUCGGUGCAGAUCUUGGUGGUAGUAGCAAAUACACAAGCAAGAUCCUUGUGGACCGAUGUGGAGAAGGGUUCCGCGCGAACAGUACUUGGACGUGGGUGAGUCGGCCCUAAGCCAACGGGUAAUUCCCGCAUCCCGUGUUUAUCGUUUGCCGAAUCCGAACAACAUGGGUUGAU
rnacentral:rRNA from 1 species